GCUCGGCUGGGGCUCGGCUCCCUUUGGCACCGCUCCCUCAGGGCCCAUCGCUCCCUCGGUUCUCUUCGGCUUCCUUCGGACUGAGCUCAGCUCCCACUCGGUUCUCUCCGGCUUCCUUCGGGCGGAGCUCGACUCGGGCUCGGCUCUCUUCGGCCGCGCUCGGCCGCGGCCCCGGAAGCGCUCCCAUGGAGCCGGGACGGCGGGCUUCCCGCCUGGCCAUGGCGCCGCUGCUGGAGUACGAGCGGCAGCUGGUGCUGGAGCUGCUCGAGGCCGACGGGCUGGUGGUGUGCGCCCGCGGGCUCGGCGCGGACCGGCUCCUCUACCACUUCCUCCGGCUGCACAGCCACCCGGCGUGCCUGGUGCUGGUGCUCAACACGCAGCCGGCCGAGGAGGAGCAUUUCAUCAACCAGCUGAAGCUGGACGGCGUCAACCACCUGCCCCGCCGCGUGACCAACGAAAUCGCCAGUAACAGUCGCUACGAGGUGUACACGCAGGGCGGGGUCAUCUUCGCCACCAGCCGGAUCCUCGUGGUUGACUUCCUGACGGACAGGAUCCCUUCUGAUUUGAUUACUGGCAUCUUGGUGUACAAAGCUCACCGGAUCAUCGAGUCUUGUCAGGAAGCCUUCAUCCUGCGCCUCUUUCGCCAGAAGAACAAACGCGGCUUCAUCAAAGCCUUCACAGACAACGCCGUGGCCUUUGACACCGGCUUCUGCCACGUGGAAAGAGUGAUGCGAAACCUCUUCGUCCGGAAGCUGUACCUGUGGCCCAGGUUCCAUGUGGCCGUGAACUCGUUUUUAGAACAGCACAAGCCUGAGGUGGUAGAAAUCCACGUUUCUAUGACGCCGGCCAUGCUGGCCAUCCAGACCGCCCUGUUGGACAUCCUGAACGCGUGUCUCAAGGAGCUCAAGUGCCACAACCCGUCGCUUGAAGUGGAAGAUUUAUCCCUCGAAAAUGCCAUCGGGAAACCUUUUGACAAGACCAUCCGCCACUAUUUGGACCCCCUGUGGCAUCAGCUGGGCGCCAAGACCAAGUCCUUGGUUCAGGACCUGAAGAUCCUGCGGACGCUGCUGCUGUAUCUCUCCCAGUACGACUGCGUCACCUUCCUCAACCUCCUGGAGUCACUGAGGGCGACCGAGAAGGCAUUUGGUCAGAAUUCAGGGUGGCUGUUCCUUGACGCCAGCACCUCGAUGUUUGUGAAUGCUCGAGCACGGGUGUACCACAUUCCAGAUACCAAACUGAGCAAAAAGGACAAAAUACCGGAAAAAGUGGAGACGAAAGAAAAGCAAGAAACAAAGAGGGAGCUCGUCCUCGAAAGCAGCCCCAAGUGGGAAGCUCUGACGGAAGUGCUGAAAGAAAUCGAGGCAGAGAACCAGGAGAGCGAAGCCCUGGGGGGUCCAGGCCAGGUGCUCAUCUGCGCCAGUGACGACCGGACGUGUGCCCAGCUGCGGGAGUAUCUGUCCUGCGGCGCCGAGGCCUUCCUACUGAGGCUGUACCGGAAAACCUUUGAGAAGGAGAAGGACGGCCCGGCCGAGGAGGACUGGGCGCGGUUCAGGAAGGAGGACUGCGCCAGGAGAGGGGUGAAAUCCGGCAAAGGCCCCAAGGGCCGCGCCCGGGCCAAAGAGAGGACGGCGAAGAAGAAGAAGAAGCUGACCCUCACGCAGAUGGUGGCCAAGACAGAGGAGCCGGAAGGGGAAGAAGGGGAGGCCCCGGCGGGCCUCGCCGGAGACCCGAGCAGCAGCCCGGAAGGCUGCCCGGAAGAAGCCGCGCCCGAGGACUUCGCCGUGAACGUGUCGUCGGAUGCUGCCUACGGCCUCCUCAGGGACCCCCUGACCAUCCUCCACCCGCUGCUGGGGUGCAGCGACCCCUACGCCCUGACCAGGGUUCUGUACGAGCUGGAGCCGAGAUACGUGGUUCUGUACGACGCCGAGCUGACCUUCGUGCGGCAGCUCGAGAUUUACAGGGCAAGUAGACCUGGCCGACCUCUGAGGGUCUAUUUCCUUAUCUACGGGGGCUCGACCGAGGAGCAGCGUUACCUCACGGCCCUGCGGAAGGAGAAAGAGGCGUUUGAGAAACUCAUCAGGGAGAAGGCCAGCAUGGUCAUCCCCGAGGAGCGAGAGGGCCGCGACGAGACAAACCUGGACCUGGCCAGGGGCUCCACGUCCAGCGACGUCACCCCCGACACACGUAAAGCGGGUGGCCAGGCCCAGGGCGGCCCCGCGCAGAGCAUCGUGGUGGACCUGCGCGAGUUCCGCAGCGAGCUGCCCGCGCUCAUCCACCGGCGGGGCAUCGACGUGGAGCCCGUGACGCUGGAGGUGGGCGACUACAUCCUGAGCCCCGACAUGUGCGUGGAGCGCAAGACCCUCAGCGACCUCAUCGGCUCCCUGAACAACGGGCGCCUGUACGGCCAGUGCGUGUCCAUGGGCCGCUACUACCCGCGGCCGCUGCUGCUCAUCGAGUUCAACCCGGGCCGCGCCCUGGCGCUGGGGGCGCGCGGCGCGCCGCAGCCCGAGCUGUCCGGUUCCGACGUCACGGCCAAGCUGGCCCUGCUGACCCUGCACUUCCCCCGCCUGCGCCUGCUCUGGUGCCCGUCCCCGCACGCCGCCGCCGAGCUCUUCGAGGAGCUCAAGCGCCACAAGCCGCAGCCCGACGCGGCCGCCGCCGCCGCCGUCACCGCCGACUCGGACACGCUGCCCGAGUCCGACCGCUACAACCCGGGCCCGCAGGACUUCCUGCUGCGCAUGCCCGGGGUCAGCGCCAAGAACUGCCGCGCGCUCAUGAACCGCGUGCGCAGCAUCGCCGAGCUGGCCGGCCUGUCGCAGGCGCAGCUGGCCGACGUGCUGGGCAACGCGGCCAGCGCCCGGCAGCUGCACGACUUCAUCCACACGCCCUACACGGCGGCCGCGCCCGGCCCCGCGCUGGCCAAGGGCAAAGGGAAGAAGUGACCACCCCCUACCCCACUGCUGGCCGGGCCGCUGGUGUGGCCAGGAGAUUGGUUGUAGCGUUGGAGUGACCAGGAGCCUAACGUUUAGCGUUGGAGUGACCGGGACCCUGACGUUUAACGUUGGAGUGACCGGGGCCUGGUCUGAUGUUGGAAGUGACCAGGACCCUGACGUUUAACGUCAGAGUGACCAGGUCUGGCAUUGCAUGACCAGGACCCUGACGUUUAACGUUGGAGUGACCGGGGGCCUGGUCUGAUGUUGGAAGUGACCGGGACCCUGACGUUUAAUGUCGGAGUGACCAGGUCUGAUGUUGGCGUGACCAGGACCCUAACGUUUAACGUUUGGGUCACCAGGAGCCUGGUCUGGCAUUGGAGUGACCGGGACCCUAAGGUUUAACGUUUCGGUCACCAGGAGCCUGGUCUGACACUUGAGUGACCAGGACCCUGACGUUUAACGUGGGAGUGACCGGGGGCCUGGUCUGACGUUGGAGUGACCGGGAGCCUAGUGUAACGUUAGAGUGACCGGAAGGCCUUGGUCAACCGGGAGCUCGGCCCGACAGUCCCAGCCCCUGUACCUGAGCGAGGUCUGUCCCCUGGGUCCCCGGGGCGGGCUGAGGGCUCUCCACAGAUCUGCACUUGGGGCUCCUUUCCAUACUGCCCCGUCCCCUCCCCAAGUGCCCAGGGCCGCGGCAUCGGGCAGGGUGUCCGGGCCCUGUUUCCUUCAGAAGGCUGUUUGAGUCCAGCUGAAAUCUGUGUUCCCUGCGUGUCUGAUACCGUCACACAAACGACCAGGGGGUCUCACCCUCUGUCCGCAGAUGGGAGCCCCCCACCCCAGCUCUCAGCAGGGAAUCUCGCUCUGCCGCUUCACCCCUUCUCUCCCCCCAGGAUCUUCUUCAGCCACGCACCCCUCCCUCUUGACUGCUUCUGCAGGAAGGGCACGGGACAUCCUUGCUUCCUUCCCCAAGGCUCCACAGUCGGGCCGGGCCCUCCCUCUCCUCAGCACCGAGCCCAGCACCGCCCACUCCUUGAUGGGCCAAACCCUUGGUUUUAUUUUAUGUGGGUUUUUUUUUUUUAAUUGUACCAGGAACCCAACCCCAGGGCCUCACACACCCAAGGUGUGCACAUUCUGGCCUUUCUCGACCUCCCCAGCCCUCCCUUUUUUUUUUUUUUCUUUUUGGGUCACACCUGGCGAUGUUCAGGGGUUCCUCCUGGCUCUGCACUCAGGAAUGACUCCUGGCGGUGCUCAGGGGACCCUAUGGGAUGCUGGGAAUCGAACCCGGGUUGGCCCCAUGCAAGGCAAACGCCCUCCCCGCUGUGCUAUCGCUCCAGCUGUCCAGCCCCCAUUCUUAGAAAAUGAAUUGUACUUCAGCGGUCCGCGCUGUCAGAGAAAAGACCCUCAGAGCGCGCGGCUGAGGGACGGCCUCUACCCCGGGAGCGCACGGCGCCCGCACAGCAGGUCUCAUGCCCCAGACUCUGUUGCUGUCUCCUCCCCUCCUCCCUCUGCCAUCCUCCUUCCCACCCCACAUCUCGGAGGCGUCUCCCCUCCCCACGUUGGAGUAAGGAAUGCACCGUCAGCACGUAGGGACGUGUCGCCUUGCCAAAGAAACGUGCAGGACAGCGGGUAGGCGUUGCCAAGUCCAGCAGUACAUAUGCUCCCCUGAGCACUGCCGGGAGUGAGCCCUGAGCUCCGCUGAUGUGCGCCAACCCCCAAAAUAUGUCGAGAUCACAUACCUAACAAGUAUGAUGCAUGAUGAGAGUUGUGGGGACCCCCUUGCAAAGCCAGCAUCCUCCUCCUCCUUGUCUAUCCGGUUUUGCCUUUCACCCUAUGGGCACAUGCCCAGUGCUCACAGCAUCUUCCUGCUGUUCGUCUGGGUUGGGUUUGGGGGUGCUGGGCUACAUGCAGGACAAGUGCCCCGCUGCCGGGCACUCUCCGGCCACCUCCUGCAAUUUGUAAACCUCGCUGCCCACACGCAGUGGACGGGCAGAGAGCGCACGCACCGAGAGAGCAGACACGGCCGUCUCCUGUGGCAGCCCCUUAAAGGGUGUUUCCCCCGGGUUGGCCGGGUUAUUCCAAGCCCUGCUCUCGAGCCCCAACCCACCACCAAAUGGUCUCUGGUCUUCCCAGAGGGGCACGCAGCAGGCCCUGCCCGGGCUUGCAGCCCCACAGUCGGGGUGGGGAGGGGGGGCAAUCACUCGAGUGCACUGAGGGGGUCCCAGAGCAGGGCCUGGCCUCGGAGGGCCUGGAACAUAAUCGGGAGGUGAAAGGAGACAAACCAAAGUUAAAAGCAGCAGAGUUUAUUUAUUUAUUUAUUUUGGUCCCAGAGUUGAAAAUAGACCUUCUAGAAUAGAAAGCCAAAAGUGACCAGCGGGCACCCAUGGGGACUUGUGCCGUUACUCCUUUCAGAGGUCGUCCUUGGUGCCAUACUUGAAAAUAGACUCCGCAUCACCUCCAAGGGUUCUGGCCCUGGGGGCUUCCUCCUCCUCCCCCCCUCCAGGGUCCGAGUGACAGCACAGCCCGUAGAGCGCUGGUCUUGCACGUGGCUGACCCCAGUCUCCCAUAUGUGAUCCCUUGAGCACAGAGCCAGGAGUCAGGGGUGGCCUCCAAACACCCACCCCGAAAAUGAAGUAAGAGGCAAAUCCCCAGCACGGUGUCUCGUCAGAUACAGGUUUCAGCCCAAGUCCCACGUCCUUCAGAAAGGAGCUUUCCUUGGUGGCGACUUGGAGAGCGACCCCAGAGCUGACCCUUGCGUGAUCUGGGGCCAGUCAGGCCCUUGUACGCCAAUUUGCUUCGCCUCUUCCUGGCUGGGUGAUUUUUGAGCAGUUGCUUGUAAUGAACUGGAAACUGGCCACUGGCGGUGAAGAUUCACACUGCCUCUCCUUCCAGCUAUAGACAUAGCUUUUUAAUACGUCUCCAGUGGUGGUGGAGGUUUUUCAAUAUAUUAUUCAUCAAAAAAAAAAUGGGGGACUGGAGUGAUAGCACAGCGGGUAGGGCGUUUGCCUUGCACGCGGCCGAUCCAGGUUCGAAUCCCAGCAUUCCAUAUGGUCCCCUGAGCACCGUCAGGGGUCAUUCCUGAGUGCAGAGCCAGGAGUAACCCCCGUGCAUCGCUGGGUGUGACCCAAAAAACAAAAAAAAAAUUUUUAAACCGAUUUUUACCACCUAAGAAUCCCUGAUCCAGAGUUAGUUGUGAAGUCAAUGCCUCAUUUUCAUCUCUAGCAUCUACACCGGUGGGCCUUUUUCUUUCAAAAUAGUGAAAUAUCCCUUUAACUUCUGGACCCAGCACUGAGCGAUAGGAGAGCUCUUUUUAUCUUAAAAAGCCAGCAUCCAGGGCCGGAGCGAUAGCACAGCGGGGAGGGCGUUUGCCUUGCACGCAGCUGACCUGGGUUCGAUCCCUGGAAUCCCAUAGGGUCCCCCGAGCACCGCCAGGAGUAAUUCCUGAGUGCAAAGCCAGGAGUAACCCCUGAGCAUCGCUGGGUGUGACCCAAAAAGCAAAAAAAAAAAAAAAAAAAGCAUCCACUGUCACUCUCUUUUGUUCUUGUUUUGCAGGGGAAGGUUGAGAGUCUUAAUUCCAUUUUGCCUGCUUCACUACUAGUCUCCCGUGCAUUUAUUCUCUAAAUGACACCAGAAGGAGUCAAUCUUGGGGGCAGCCAUAAAUAAUGAUGCUUUUGGAAACACGUUACUGUUUCCAUGCCUUGGGCGGCAGUCGGCUGGAGGCCGAGGUCUGUUCGGGCAGGCCCUGGUCCAGUUUCCCAGCCUGCAAGGGGGCUGGGAUGGGAGUGGGGCAUUCCUCCGCCUCCCUCCUGGGACCGAGAGGGUUAAGUCCAGACUCGGCUUGUGUUCGAGAACUCUGUAAAAUGAAUGGUCAGUGUCCUCCUGGGCAGGAAAACCUGUUCCCCAAAACCAUCCUGGGGGCUGGGGGCAGGGCAUCAGUUGGCUUUUGUUUUGCAAGCAUAAUUGGAUUUUUGCCUUGGCUCAGAAAACUUCUCUUGGGAAAUUCUCUUUUUUUUUUUUUCCCCGUGUUCGGCUUCGCCCAGAAAUGCCCUCUUAGAAACCACCAGUGGUGAGAUGUCUCUGGCCGGGCGUGAGAGUGUAUUGAGAUGUCUCUGGGCACUGACGGGAAUGAUCGCUUUCCCCUCCCCCCCUCCGUUUUUUCUCCACUGCCUCUUCAGCUGCUUCCGGUCCGGGCCUCAGCUCCAGGGCCCCCCGUUGACCCUCUUCAUCAACUAGCGGUUGGCAACCUUUGGCUUUUUUAAUGUUUGGGGUUUUUUAUUUAAAGUCCGAUUCUGUACGGGGGAGCGAUGUCGUCAAUUUCUAUGAAUUUGUAGCCGUGGUGUUUGUGUUUUUAAUGAAAUGUGUAUUCACUUUUCACAUAGCUUUCUGUGGGCAGGACGCAAAACAAAUGAAAAAAAAAUAGUCGAGAGUGAAAGGGCUUCUGCUUUUGUCCGUGUGUUUAUGUCCUCGACAGAUAGAAUUGAAAAUUCAGAGCCUAUUUAUUUUCUCUUUGGUGACAACAAUAAACGAUGAAAGCUGA